GGCGGGGCUUGUGGAAACGGCCGCCACAGGGUUGGCGGACUUGUGAAGGAGCAAAGAUGGCGGAGUGAGGCGCUCCGCUGCGAUCCGGCCUUGGGCCGGUGGGUAGGCCGGUCACCGGGCGAUCCAUUGCUUCUGCUGGCUCGUGCGAGGAAGAACAUUUUCCUUGACUUUUAGGUGCUUUUUUAUUCAUCUGGAAAAGAAAAAAUUCUGAACUCAGGAUUUGGCAACCAAGGAUAUGUUUAUUGAUUCUAGAGAGGGAGGAAGAGGAGGAGAGAGAGAGAAAAGAGAAAAGAAGACAUCAAUAUGAGAGAAAAACAUGGAUCACUUGUCUCCAAUACAUACCCUAACUGGGAAUCAAACCCUCAACCCAGGUAUUUCUAUGUUGUCCCUGGAGUGGGUAGUCCUGCGUCUUCUAUUCAAUCACUCUCCCUAGUCUUGAAAUGAGAAUAUCUCUUCUCUACACUUUACCUCCACGAUUUGGAUCGAAAAGGCUGCUUUUCUUUUUUUUCUGCAUCAAAAAUUCAACACAGAGAAGAUCCUAGGAUGCAGUCAUUCUGCCAACUUCUUCAGGGAGAAAGAAGCAACUGUCACGUUUCUUCUGCCAUUUUAAUUGUAAAGAAAUUAUUUUGCAGGCUGAAGGGUGAUGUUUAAUUUGAAACAGGUGCUUCAGUGGUGGUAUUUGUAAACUUUCUACCUUUUGUUCCAAGAAGAAAACUAUAUAAAUAGCAAGUAUCAAGGGGUUUUGUUUGUUUGGUUUUGGUUUUUUUUAAUGUCUUCCAGUAGUAGUCACUAUCAUAAGCACAGUUAUGACUACAGGAAUAAAUUACAAACGUGUUGUAAUUUGAUAUAAAAGAGAUGCUAAAUAUAUAUAUAUGUGUGUGUAUAUAUAUAUAUAUAUAUCCUGGCUCAUCCUGUGACAUAGAUUAACUGGAUAAGAACAAAGGUCCAAUAUUGCAGUGAAACCUUUGAUAUGAGGAAGAAGCAUAAAAACAAAAUAUUGCAAAGUUAAUUUCAUGUGUGAAUAAAUCAUCACUGUCUCUGUUUAAAUACAUAUUUUAAAGUGUAAACCCACAUAUUUGGAUGAGAAGAGCGAUUUUUCUACUAGGAAGGAAGCUGUUUCUCAGAAGUCUUUGGACAUUUGAUGUUUUAAAAUGUUUUGUUUUCUUUGUUGUUCUAAGGAAGGACUAUAUUGUGCAGCUGUUAACCCUAUGAAUGCAUGCUUGGGAUUAGUGAAAGUUGGGUAAAAGGAAACAAAAGUUUUGAGUCCAGUGAUGGAACCCUGUUCACCUCCCUAGGAUAAGAAGCUGCUAUGUUACAAAUUACUUCAUUCAUUUUUUGGAGUCUUAUAUAGCACUUAUAGAAGUUUUCCAUGCUGCUGGAAGAAAAGUGGCAUACGUGGUUUUUCUGUUCAGAAGAUGUGAUGGACCCUACAGUGUAACCUGCCUUCAACUUUGGACAUGGAGGAAUGGGGCAAAAUAAGAAAACUUUCCAUAUAACUCCCUUCUCCUAAGAAAAGGAAGCAAAAAAUGACUUACAGUUCCACCUGACUUGAUGGUGUUUUACAUUUCGUAGCUUUGUUUUUUGUAAAAGUAUAAAUAACUUUUUCCUUUGAUCCAAGACCAGUACUUGGAUGUUUGAUUUCUUUUUCUAGGUGACAGCUGUAGUGUUAGGCUGAAAAGGCUGGGACUCAGGUAACUUUCCCCACUCUUCAUCAGAGAAUGGGCCUCAGAAGCAAUGUUGCCAAACUUGUGGUUGGCUCAGUGUACAAGAAGUUCAGGUCUGAAAAAAACCUGAAACAAGAAAAAUAGCUUCAACAAGAUGUAUGGAUCUUCCUCUCCCUUAAAACUUAAGCUAUAGAGGAACAGACCAUAGUGUAAAGCUGUUAACUUCAAAAUCAACAGAAGAACAGUGUAUGAAUCGUCAGGUCUCUGCAUAAGAAGAAUGAAAUCUUUAUGAGUCUCUGUGAUUUGAGAAAGAAUUUAAAGCUUCUUAGAUGAAAUUAAGAACAAAUCAUCUUAGAUCAUCUCUGUGAUUAGGGAAUGUUUGCCUAGGGCCAAACAUGCUGUCAUGUUGAAAACUUGGUGCAGAUUUACCAAGAUUUGAGAGUGAUAGAACUGGCCAAAAAAUGGAAAUGUUGCGCACUCUUGAUUAGUUUAAUUGGUCAGCCAGUUUGAAUUGGUAUAAGAAAGCUUUUUAGUAAAAUAAAUAAAAUGUCAUUUUCUUUAAUUGAGGGCAAUUACUGAGUGGUACAGCACAGAAGUAACCAGAUAAAGGUAACAAUUUUUUUCUCUUAAGUAACUUCCCAGCCACUUCCUGAUAAACAUAUUUAAAGUACUUUGAAAUUGUUAAAGACAAUGGAAUUUACAUACAUGGGUCCCGGUGGUAUAGAGAGUGUCAGAUGGGAAAUUUAUAUCUUCAGUUUGUUACCUACUUUCCUUGUAUCCUUUUGGCAACUUUUUGGGUAGGAUCAUUUGACAGAGAAUAGGGACCCUGUACUAUCAGCAUAGUGAAAUCAUCUCUGGCCCACUUGUUUGAAUAAGUAUCAGACUCAGUUUCUCUGGUUGCUUUAUAUUUUUUCAUUUCACAGCUAAGAGAACCGCUGUUUAAUACUCUUUCAUGUUGUUUCUGCAUCCUGCUACCAAAUGGCAUUUAAUGAAAUGAGCAUAUUGCAGUUGUACUUGUCCAGUGUUUACUUAUUACAUAGACAUUUUUUUCCUGGUCUAUUUUGGUCUCCUCCUUGAUGGCAAAAGUUGUAGUUUUAGGCAGAACCAUGCAUCCAUCCUAAGCUAUAUCUGCUUCCUUUCCUUUGCUCAUCCAUUUUAGCUGGCAGGUUUGGGAUUUUCUUUUUUAUUUUGUUUGUUUUUUUUUUUUUAAGUUAAAAACGGGAUAUGUGCAAUAGAAAUAUAUAUAUGUAUAUUUUAAUACUUGUGGACAAAUGUUACAAGUUGUUUCAGAACAACAAAAUCACCAAUGUCUUCCAUUUUGAGAUGUGUAUAGUUUUGUAAGCAUUAGUGCUUAGUAGCAUAUUGUAGUGCCAUGUUAGAAGUUAGUGCAUGAGCCUAGUAAUUAUUUAAACUUCAGGAUGAAUUAUAAUAACCAAUAGUGUAAAAAGUGAAAAAUGUAGACCUUUUUUCCUAAGUUUCGAUAUCCAUGAUAUUCUCCCUGGGGAGAGAUUAGGCCAAAAAGACUCAUUUAUAAAUAGUAAUGUGAGAUCACAAUGUGAAAUACUGUGUUUGAGAAUAUUUAAGCUUUUCAUGAGGUAGCUGGAAACCAGCUGCCUUAGUGUCUUAUGAAACCUUACAUCCAAACGUGGCCCCAUUUCAGGAUUCUGCUUUGCUCAGUUUGAGGUGAGAUUGUUCUUACGCUAUUUUCACAUUCUAUGUCUUUUACAUUUAUUAUUUUCCUACUUUUGCAUCAGGAAAUUAUAUUGCAUGUCCUACUGAGAUGCUAUGUUAAUUGCUUAAGCGAGUGCUUUUCUAAUCUGCAGAUCAUUUACACUUUCUGCAGCAUGCCAUGUGUCAGUAGUUCAGAGUGUCCUGCAUUAAUUUGUCAUGGGCUUUUCCUAUUUCCAAAUUUGUUGAAUUGUGUAUUGUUGGGAUUCCAGACCUUUUCACAGAAUUGGAAAUGCAGCCAACAGAGCCUUUGUAGGUUGCCAUGUAAUAACUAACUUUUGCUUGGUUAUAGCUGCCUCAGACAGCUUUCACUUUUCUACUUUCCUUGUAGUCAUAAAAAUUAUGGUAUUCUGAAAGCAUAAGAUAGCUUAUUGUCGAAAAGAAAUUCCUACCUCUAAAAGCUGCCUUGAGAACUGGGAAAUGGCAGUUUUCUGAGGUGAUUUUUAAAUCUUAGUAUUAGAAGAGUCCAAAAUUUAUUGGCACAGGUUCUACAGUUAGCAUGAUAGGAAAUUCAAAACUAUUUUAAUGUACUGUGUCUUGUGUGUAGAAACAAACUUAGACAAAUAGAUUCUUCUGCAGCAGAUCUCCAGGGACCCAGGUUUCAAUUCUCAUAGUGUACUUCAAGUAAUUGUACUCUUGGCUCAAAUAGUUUAGUGCCUGUGAGAAUCCAUUUCUGAAAAGCAUUUAAACAUUUUUUAAAAUACCUCUGAAAAGGUAAUAAAUGCAAAGAUAGCACAGUACGUAUAGGAAAGGGUAUUCCCUAUUGAAAAAGAAAAGAAAAAGCCAUAAAAUGAAAUAAUACUUUUCAAGAGGUAGAAUUUUAGUAGCAAUAACAGUUUUGGCAUGUAAAGUAAGUUGCAUUAGCAAGACUGUAUAGUAGAAUAAGUAUCACUAGAGUUUGUGAGGCUCUGUGGUUAACAGAGUUGCAGAAAAGGAAGUUUUAGAUAAAGAGCAUAUAAAAGUUACUUUUAAAACUAUGAAUGUAUGUGAAUACAUCAGUGAGAAAUAACAACUUUUGUGUAAGUUAAAGGUUAAAGACCCUAUUGGUUUCCUAGAGCAGAGGGUUAGAACCUUUGAAUGAAAUUUUUCUAGUGCUUAACCUGGGAAAUAAAUGUACUCUUACUGAUGAAGUCCCACUGAAGCUAUUGUGUGGGGAUUUUGCUUAUUUUUUUUUUUAAGCAUCAGGCAAAUAGUAUACUUUUUGCUUUGUCACCUUACCUUCCUCCAUUAGUUUCCUGGGUAUAUUCUUAAAAAGGAAAAGUUUGUUGUGUGUGUGUAUUUAGAAUUUUAAAAAUUAAAACUUGGAUAGCUGGCCUAUGGUUAGUUUAGGGGAGUUAAGAUUUAAAGGUGUAAAACGAAAGGAUUGAAGGGAAUAACCAAAGACAGUAUGUUGGUUUUUUAAACCUUGUCUAAUAUAGAUGUGUUAGGCCUGCAGUCUGUGACUACUUAUUUUAACAGAAACCCAGCAAACUAGUUUCUUGAUCUGAGCAUGCACAGAGCUCACAUCAGGAUAUAAUAGUGGAAUGAGGGUGACUUCUUACUCCCUUUUACCUCAUGUCAUCUUGGCCAUUUAGCACCUUGAAGAGAUCCCUGAGGGGACUCAGUCUGUUUCCUUGUUUUUCCAGGGGAAGAAAAAAAGAAACCUAAAAGAUAAAUGGAAAAGAUCUAAGAACAUAGUGCCUCUUGAAUAUUUAAUUCUUAUAUGGCAACUCCAAAGGAUAGGAAGGCUCUACUAAAUUGAUUAUAGCUCCUCUUUAAAUGUCCUACACCAUCAGUUGGUGUUAGAGACAUUGGAAUAACCAAGCAAUAUUCAGACAUCUGCAUGAUCUUGAGAACACUAGGUGUAUUACUGUGAUGUCAACAGUUUAGCUACUUAGAACAAUUAAAGCUUACCCUUAACAGCCACAUCAAUUGUUCCAAAUGCUAAAAUGUGCUAAAAGUUUUUGUAGUUUCAAAGUACACAGUUAAUUACUUUUCAGUGUUGUAGUCUCAUGUUUACUCUUUGUGUACUUGUGAUAUGCAAAAUAUGAAGAGACCUUGUUCUCCAGGAGUUUACAUUAUCAUGGUGCUGCUGGUGCAAGCAAAUUACUUCUAGUUUAUUCAGAACAUUGCUUGGCUAUUAAUCAUACCAUAUUUGGAAGGAUCCCUUGACCAACAGUUUUCAAAAGCAGAGGGCUAUGCUAAAUUUCAGGGCAUUGAUUUUUGCGUUUACAUUGUAUUAGCUCUGCUGUUCAUAAACUCCUUUCCCCCUGGGAGCUGUGCAGCUAAUGCUCUUAACAUGAAUUAGAGAAGAAACCAUUCUAAGAGCAUCUUUACCGUCCCUACACCGCCUGUGCUCCUCUACACUACAGCAGUCAAAAGGCCAAGAAACUUACUGCUCCAGAAGACUGUGCAUCUCUCAAUUCUAUUUCUUUUCCCAGAGUUUUUACAUCAUUCUGUAUCCAGAAGGACCAGGAUUUGCCAUUAAGCUUUUUGUAACUGAAUAUUGGUCCUAAUUUUAACUUUUUUUGUGACUUUUGUACCGCUAUUCUGAAGCAGCAUUAUGAUAGACGUGGAGCACCUGCCUGCAUUUCUAAGCAAUUACUUAAACCCUAUUUUUGAUUGAAACUGCAUGUAUCCUUGUUUCUAAUUCCUCUGAAUCAAGAGAUUUACUUUGCAUGUUUAUUAAAACUGGGUCUGGAUGAAAGUACAAGCAAUAGAGGCAGGCCCAUAACUCUGAUUUUAGAGCACUAAUAUUCUAAUGCAUGAUUGAUUGAAAAUGUCCAGUAUUAUGUGGCUACUAUUAUAUAUAUAUGCAUUUAUUAAUAAUGAAGCAAUAGACUUAAACCAGUAGCUUGAAUUUACUGUUUGGAUUAUUAGUUUUCAUUUUCUAAUUAAAGAUGAUCUUACUUCCAUUGAAAAUGGGAGCUAGAUGAUAAACAGGGGCAACUGUAAGAUAUUCAAACUGUCAGGAAUAGAGCAUAAGAGUGCUCAUCACCCUCUAACCUCUUACUUGGUUCCAUUAGUCCCCGAGCAUGUUUAAAAACAAUACAAAAGGCACAAACUAAGCAUGUGGAAUAAAUAAAUAUAGCUAUGGCUAUAAUAAUCAGGUGCAGAGUUUCAGAAAGGGUAGGAAAGUAGGGAACAAAAGUAUGGAAUAUGUAAAGUAAAUAAGGGUUUGUCAAAGUCUAUGUGGCUCAAAUUUGCAUCUUAAAAGUAGGAUCUUGGAAGUGGAUAGAGGCAAUAUGCACAUAUUUCAUGUUUCAGGGUUUUUUAGAUAACUAGGCAACUUUCUGGAUGGUACUGGUAUUGACCAGCCAUGAAGGAUUUUGGCAGCAAAACUGUUCCAUUUUGGGGAAAUAGUCCUGAGAAAUAUUAACAUAUCUGUGGCUUGGUUUCUCUUUUGUUACUGUAUUUAUUACAUUAACACUUUUUUUAAUAGCCAGAGUUUUAUUCUUGGCAUUUUGGUCA